rnacentral:rRNA from 1 species
GGGGGGGGCAAGCGUUGUUCGGAAUUACUGGGGCGUAAAGCGCGCGCAGGCGGCCCGGCAAGUCCUACGUGAAAUCCCACAGCUCAACUGUGGGAACUGCGUGGGAUACUGCCAGGCUUGAGUCCCGGGAGAGGAGAGUGGAAUUCCCAGUGUAGCGGUGCAAUGCGUAGAUAUUGGGAGGAACACCGGUGGCGAAGGCGGCUCUCUGGACCGGUACUGACGCUGAGGCGCGAAAGCUAGGGGAGCAAACGGGAUUAGAUACCCCGGUAGUCCUAGCUGUAAACUUUGAGCACUUUGUGUGGCGGGUAUCGACCCCUGCCGUGCAGAAGCUAACGCAUUAAGUGCUCCGCCUGGGGAGUACGGUCGCAAAGGCUGA